rnacentral:rRNA from 1 species
AGUAACGCGUGGAUAACCUGCCUCACACUGGGGGAUAACAGUUAGAAAUGACUGCUAAUACCGCAUAAGCGCACAGUACCGCAUGGUACAGUGUGAAAAACUCCGGUGGUGUGAGAUGGAUCCGCGUCUGAUUAGCCAGUUGGCGGGGUAACUGCCCACCAAAGCGACGAUCAGUAGCCGACCUGAGAGGGUGACCGGCCACAUUGGGACUGAGACACGGCCCAA